rnacentral:rRNA from 1 species
CCCUUAGAUGUCCUGGGCCGCACGCGCGCUACACUGAUGCAUUCAACGAGUUCUACCUUGGCCGAGAGGCCUGGGCAAUCUUUUGAACCUGCAUCGUGAUAGGGAUAGAUUAUUGCAAUUAUUAAUCUUGAACGAGGAAUUCCUAGUAAACGCAGAUCAUCAAUCUGCAUUGAUUACGUCCCUGCCCUUUGUACACACCGCCCGUCGCACCCACCGAUUGAAUGGUCCGGUGAAGCCUCGGGAUUGUGGCGAGUUCCCUUUAUUGGGAGUUUGUCGCGAGAACUUGUCUAAACCUUAUCAUUUAGAGGAAGGUGAAGUCGUAACA